UGGAGAGAGAGAAAAAAGUACUAACAAGGUCUCCGUUGGUGAACAGCGGAGGGAUCAUUACCGAGUUUACAACUCCCAAACCCAAUGUGAACGUUACCAAACUGUUGCCUCGGCGGGAUCUCUGCCCCGGGUGCGUCGCAGCCCCGGACCAAGGCGCCCGCCGGAGGACCAACCAAAACUCUUAUUGUAUACCCCCUCGCGGGUUUUUUUUAUAAUCUGAGCCUUCUCGGCGCCUCUCGUAGGCGUUUCGAAAAUGAAUCAAAACUUUCAACAACGGAUCUCUUGGUUCUGGCAUCGAUGAAGAACGCAGCGAAAUGCGAUAAGUAAUGUGAAUUGCAGAAUUCAGUGAAUCAUCGAAUCUUUGAACGCACAUUGCGCCCGCCAGUAUUCUGGCGGGCAUGCCUGUCCGAGCGUCAUUUCAACCCUCGAACCCCUCCGGGGGGUCGGCGUUGGGGAUCGGCCCUGCCUUGGCGGUGGCCGUCUCCGAAAUACAGUGGCGGUCUCGCCGCAGCCUCUCCUGCGCAGUAGUUUGCACACUCGCAUCGGGAGCGCGGCGCGUCCACAGCCGUUAAACACCCAACUUCUGAAAUGUUGACCUCUGGAUCAGGUAGGAAUACCCGCUGAACUUAAGCAUACUCAAUAAGCGGAAAAA
rnacentral:rRNA from 1 species